GAUGAACGCUGGCGGCGUGCCUAAUACAUGCAAGUCGAGCGAACAGAUGAGGAGCUUGCUCCUCUGACGUUAGCGGCGGACGGGUGAGUAACACGUGGAUAACCUACCUAUAAGACUGGGAUAACUUCGGGAAACCGGAGCUAAUACCGGAUAAUAUAUUGAACCGCAUGGUUCAAUAGUGAAAGACGGUUUUGCUGUCACUUAUAGAUGGAUCCGCGCCGCAUUAGCUAGUUGGUAAGGUAACGGCUUACCAAGGCAACGAUGCGUAGCCGACCUGAGAGGGUGAUCGGCCACACUGGAACUGAGACACGGUCCAGACUCCUACGGGAGGCAGCAGUAGGGAAUCUUCCGCAAUGGGCGAAAGCCUGACGGAGCAACGCCGCGUGAGUGAUGAAGGUCUUCGGAUCGUAAAACUCUGUUAUUAGGGAAGAACAAAUGUGUAAGUAACUAUGCACGUCUUGACGGUACCUAAUCAGAAAGCCACGGCUAACUCCGUG
rnacentral:rRNA from 1 species